rnacentral:rRNA from 1 species
AACGAACGCUGGCGGCAUGCCUAACACAUGCAAGUCGAACGAGACCUUCGGGUCUAUUGGCGCACGGGUGCGUAACGCGUGGGAACCUGCCCUUAGGUUCGGAAUAACUCCCCGAAAGGGGUGCUAAUACCGGAUAAUGUCUUCGGACCAAAGAUUUCUUGCCAUUGGAUGGGCGCGCGUUGGAUUAGCUGGUUGGUAGGGUAAAAGCCUGCCAAGGCGACGUUCCAUAGCUGGUCUGGGAGGAUGAUCAGCCACACUGGGACUGCGACACGGCCCAGACUCCUACGGAAGGGAGCAGAGGGGAAUAUUGGACGAUGAGCGAAGGCCUGAUCCAGCAAUGCCGGGUGAGUGAUGAAGGCCUUAGGGUUGUAAAGCUCUUUUACCCGAGAUGAUAGUGACAGUACCGGGAGAAUAAGCACCGGCUAACUCCGUG